GAUGAACGCUGGCGGCGUGCCUAAUACAUGCAAGUCGAGCGAACGGACGAGAAGCUUGCUUCUCUGAUGUUAGCGGCGGACGGGUGAGUAACACGUGGAUAACCUACCUAUAAGACUGGGAUAACUUCGGGAAACCGGAGCUAAUACCGGAUAAUAUUUUGAAACGCAUGGUUCAAAAGUGAAAGACGGUCUUGCUGUCACUUAUAGAUGGAUCCGCGCUGCAUUAGCUAGUUGGUAAGGUAACGGCUUACCAAGGCAACGAUGCAUAGCCGACCUGAGAGGGUGAUCGGCCACACUGGAACUGAGACACGGUCCAGACUCCUACGGGAGGCAGCAGUAGGGAAUCUUCGGCAAUGGGCGAAAGCCUGACGGAGCAACGCCGCGUGAGUGAUGAAGGUCUUCGGAUCGUAAAACUCUGUUAUUAGGGAAGAACAUAUGUGUAAGUAACUGUGCACAUCUUGACGGUACCUAAUCAGAAAGCCACGGCUAACUACGUG
rnacentral:rRNA from 1 species